CCUACGGGAGGCAGCAGUGAGGAAUAUUGGGCAAUGGGCGCACGCCUGACCCAGCAACGCCGCGUGAAGGAAGACGGCUCUCGGGUUGUUAACUUCUUUUGACCGGGGAGCGUAGAAGACGGUACCUGUCGAAUAAGCCACGGCUAACUACGUGCCAGCAGCCGCGGUACUACGGAGGUGGCGAGCGUUGUCCGGAUUUACUGGGGGUAAAGGGCGUGUAGCCGGGUUGACAAGUCAGAUGUGAAAUCCUGCGGCUUAACCGCAGAACUGCGGUUGAAACUGGUGAUCUUGAGUACUGGAGAGGCAGACGGAAUGCCUAGUGUAGCGGUGAAAUGCGUAGAUAUUAGGAGGAACACCAGUGGCGAAGGCGGUCUGCUGGACAGCAACUGACGGUGAGGCGCGAAAGCGUGGGGAGCAAACAGGAUUAGAUACCCCAGUAGUC
rnacentral:rRNA from 1 species